CUACGGGGUGCUCCAGUGGGGAAUAUUGCACAAUGGGCGCAAGCCUGAUGCAGCCAUGCCGCGUGUAUGAAGAAGGCCUUCGGGUUGUAAAGUACUUUCAGCGGGGAGGAAGGGAGUAAAGUUAAUACCUUUGCUCAUUGACGUUACCCGCAGAAGAAGCACCGGCUAACUCCGUGCCAGCAGCCGCGGUAAUACGGAGGGUGCAAGCGUUAAUCGGAAUUACUGGGCGUAAAGCGCACGCAGGCGGUUUGUUAAGUCAGAUGUGAAAGCCCCGGGCUCAACCUGGGAACUGCAUCUGAUACUGGCAAGCUUGAGUCUCGUAGAGGGGGGUAGAAUUCCAGGUGUAGCGGUGAAAUGCGUAGAGAUCUGGAGGAAUACCGGUGGCGAAGGCGGCCCCCUGGACGAAGACUGACGCUCAGGUGCGAAAGCGUGGGGAGCAAACAGGAUUAGAUACUGGUAGUC
rnacentral:rRNA from 1 species